rnacentral:rRNA from 1 species
CUACGGAGGGUGCAAGCGUUAUUCGGAAUCACUGGGCGUAAAGGACGCGUAGGCGGGUUUGUAAGUCAGGUGUGAAAUCCUACAGCUUAACUGUAGAACUGCACUUGAAACUACAGACCUAGAGUAUGGGAGGGGCAGAUGGAAUUAGUGGUGUAGGGGUAAAAUCCGUAGAUAUCACUAGGAAUACCGAAAGCGAAGGCGAUCUGCUGGAACAUAACUGACGCUAAGGCGUGAAAGCGUGGGGAGCAAACCGGAUUAGAAACCCUAGUAGUCC